ACUCCGGCCGGUUCUGGGUGGGUGUGGGGCGGGAGGCCCUGUGGAGGCCGGCCGAGGGGCGUGUCGGGGCGUGUCGGCGACGUGGCAGCGGGGCGGCGCGGAGGCCAUCUUGGCGCGGGACACACGCUCCUCUGAUCUUCCUCGUCCACCACCGUAAGCCGGAUCCCCGCGCGGGACCCCCGAUCCGGGCCCCGACCCCGAGCCGCGUGGGCAGCUUUCUGCGCAGGCGCUCGCUCCGACCCAGUAUUUAGUACCUUGAAAUGUUGACUUCUGAGAACCACAGUCUCCAUAUUUCUUCCUGCCAUUUUGUUGGUCCUAUUUCUGCAUCUUAGUCGGCUACAUGUCUGGAAGAAGGUUUGGUGUGCACCGCCGGAACUGAGGGAAAAUGAUGGAAGAAAGUGGAAUCGAGACAACGCCACCCGGAACCCCUCCCCCGCACCCUGCAGGCUUGGCUGCCCUGCCCACCACUGAGGCUCGCUUAGCUGCAACCAGUUCCUUCUCAUCUCCCACCGUGUCCGGGAUUGAGUCUCUGCCGCCGCAUGCGUAUUCCACGCCCCAGCCCUCCCUGCCUCCUGUGCAGCCAUCAGCGCCACCUCCCUUUGUGCCAUUGUCUCCAGCUCCUUCUGUUCCCCUGAGUGGCACUUCUGUGCCGCCCUCUUUGUCUCCGUCGCCUGCCACCUCCUUCAGUGGCCCUCCGAUGUCCCACUUCCCACCUGCGACCUCCGCCUCGGGUGCUCUUCUCUCUGCACCGCCUUCAGGGCCUCCGAUAUCAGGGUUUUCUGUGAGUACAACUUACGACAUCACGAGGGGACACGCCGGGAGGGCGCCCCAGACACCUCUGAUGCCAUCAUUUUCUGCACCUCCGGUCACAGGUAUCUUGCCAUCCCCCAUUACUCAACAAGCCAGUAUGACACCUCUGGCACAGGGACCUGGAACCACAUCAGCCAUUACUUUCCCAGAGGAACAGGAAGAUCCUAGGAUUAAUAGAGGCCAGGAAGAUGCACCUGCUGGCGGGAUCUGGGGUUUUAUUAAGGGCGUCGCUGGGAAUCCUAUGGUGAAAUCUGUCCUGGAUAAGACCAAGCAUUCUGUAGAAAGCAUGAUCACCACACUGGAUCCUGGCAUGGCUCCAUAUAUCAAAUCUGGUGGUGAACUGGAUAUUGUUGUGACCUCAAAUAAAGAAGUGAAAGUGGCUGCUGUCCGAGACGCCUUCCAGGAGGUCUUUGGCUUAGCUGUGGUUGUUGGGGAAGCUGGACAGUCCAAUAUCGCCCCACAGCCAGUAGGGUAUGCAGCUGGAUUAAAGGGUGCCCAGGAGCGCAUUGACAGCCUGCGGCGGUCUGGAGUGAUCCACGAAAAGCAGACGGCGGUGUCGGUAGAAAACUUCAUUGCUGAGCUGCUGCCUGACAAGUGGUUUGACAUCGGCUGCUUGGUGGUGGAAGAUCCUAUGCAUGGCAUCCGCCUGGAAGCAUUUACCCAAGCCACCCCGGUGCCUCUGGAGUUUGUGCAGCAGUGCUGGAAACAAUGGAUCCUGCUGGUAGAUGGACUCAGCCGAAGACCCAGAAGAGGCUGUGAGCACAGCAUAGAGAUCGCAAAGCAUUUAAUAAUGACUUGUCCAUCAGCGGAAAAUGGAAGCUGCAAGCUCAAAAACGCAAAUAUGGAGUUUUCUAUCUAUGUGAAGCAGGAGCUCGGAGCAUACACAUGUGGUCUCUGGAUUCAGAUGGAAGACCUCUAAGUCCUCCAUUCAUUACUUUCUACUGUGUGAUUCCAGGUGAGUGGUUUUUGUUUUGCUCUUGUAUUUUUUUGAGACAGGGUCUGUCUGUAUGGCCCCAGUUGGCAUAGAACUCACUAUUUAAACCCAGUGUGCCUCAAAUUUCAAGAGAUCCACAUCCCUCUGCCUUGGGAAUGCUAGAUGAAAGGUGUGUGCCACCAGCCUCAGGAAAAACUUUGUAGCCAAACUUUGUCUCAGCUUUGAUAGUUAUAAAAUUAUGAAGGUAGUAUCUAAUAUAUUUAUGAGAAUUAUUUAAAUUGUAUAUAAAAUGUCAUAAGGGUUUUGGUGUCUAAAUAGAAAUUCAGUGAAAGUCAUGAUAAUACAUACGGGCAUGCUUCAAAGCAGCCAUUUGUUCAUGACUCCAAUUCUAAUUAUUCUAGCAGAGGCAGUAGACUUCAGAAUUAUGUUUUCUCAACGAACAACAAUGGAUUCUGGGGAAGGAUGUGGAGUGUAAUUACUGUAACACAAUCCACAAUAGUCAAGUCAUGAGACCAGACUGGGUGUUCAUGAGCAGACAGACAGUCACAGAAAGCUUAGCGUAUGCAUGUAAUCGGACAUUCUCUCUCAAAGGAUGAAAUGAUGCCAUUUGCUGGAAGAUCCACAUAGCUGGGGGUCACCAUAGUACACAGAAUAAGUCAGACACAUAAAGACAUAUACCGCAUGCUUUCUCUCACUAUAGGGCCUAAAGUUCUUUAUAGACACAUAAGUGUUUAUGUAUGCACAUUUGUAUGUUUCUUAUAUGGAUCUAUAAUAUGUACAUUCACGUGUGUAUACUUGGCAGAGAAAUAGGAGGAACAUAAAGGAAUGGAGGAGACUGGUGCCAGGGGCAAAAGGGUAGAAAACUGAAUGGAGGGGUGUGAGAGGGUGGAUGUGUUCAAGUUUGAUACUAUAGUUGGAAGAAGUUGUCUAUAAGAACCAUAACACUAUAUAAUAAUCAUAUAUCAACAAAAUGCUAAAAUUAUAUUUUUCUCCAGAAAUUUUGUUGGAUUUAUGCAGAAUUCAACACAGCAUAACUAACUUUAUCACGGAGAGUUAUUAUUAGUCCCAUCAGAAUAAAAACUAAACAUAAAACAACAUAUAAUUUGACAUAUGGAUCUAAUGUUCUAAUACGUCCUCUAUAGGAAUUUAACUACAUCCUUGUAAUAGCCCUACGGCAUCAGUAAGCACCAUUAUACUCCUCAGCAUCAUUUCAUAUAGGCAAGAAUACAGACUUAGAGACACUAGAAAGACAAAUGCAGUCUCCUACAUUGCUUUAUGUCUUAUAUUGAUAGUAAUUAUGGACUCCUGGCCUUCCAUUAAAUCUCAUCCUUUUUACAUGUUUAUGACCUAGUCACUUUAUUAUAAAGCAAAUGUUCUUGAUAUGAAUUAUUUAUAUUAACUUUUUGCUGAUUGUGUAUUCCAUGGAGGGUCAUUCUGGGACAGGGCCAAUUUGGUUGAGAACCCGGGCUGCUGUGGAUGAGUGAUUUCUGAAUGUAGUAAGAGCAAGGUCAGUGAACUAGCCAUCACAAAUGACAGCCGAUGACAAUAGGCUUACUUUAGAAAUUGCAUUAUCAUUGAAUAUAAACAAAAUCCAAAUGCUAAAUAUCCAGGUCUUUAGUCAACUGCUGUCUGGCGAAACCCUAAUGGCGAAAAUUCACUCAGCAAAGCACGAUGCGGAACUUUCCACUGGAAGCCUCCAAGAAAGUCUCAUGGUUUAUAAUUACCCCUGAAAGGACUCCUUAUUUAGGUCUCUGUGUAUGCUUCAAAACCCAUUGAAUUUAUGUUCAUUUUAAAAAACAGGGAGAAUAACCAGCCCUUCACUGAGUUUGAAUUGAACCAAUUACUCAAAUCACAGUGGAUCUGAAUUAGGGAUUUAUUUUUGUGUGUGUAUUUUUGAAAACAUGCUUCUAGAGUUUUCUAUCAUUUAUCAGCAAGAAUAUGCUCAAAUAUUUCAGGAUAGCCGCAUAAUUUCUCCAGGAUAGGCUUACAGGCAUUAUGGAGCUAUUUUGAUCUAUGGAUGGUUUAAAGUAUUUCUGGGUAGCUGAUGAUUUUCAAUUUGAAAGAUAGGAUUGUGUGAGAACAUUUCUAUUGUGCUUCAUCCACAGUCCUUGCCUCUUCCUCUGAGUGGGAAACACACACACUAGAGCUAAGCAGAAGUUCCAGCCAGGAAAACACCCCUGCCCUACUGCUCAGUAGACUGCAGGACCUUUUCACCUCCACUGACCAUAGCUGACUCAGCCUUUGAGGGUUAAGUUGGGGAAAUAAUGACAUCGUCAGUCCUAUCUCCUUUCCUCUGGGAGAGAAACAGAUGAAUUCUGUUGUAAAAUAUUAUCUGACUCAGGAAAUAAUCCUACUAAUUUUCCUCCAGAAGAACUCCUGGACCAUCCCAGGCUGACAAGAUAGAAGUCAUAGAAGGUGCGGGCUCCCUCUCAUCAUCCUGACAAACACGAUGAACACUUUCGAUAACUCAUUCAAGUACGGGUAGAGAAGGGUGAUGUUUUCUUGUGGGCAUAAUCUAGGCAUGAAUUAUAGAAUUUUACAUUUAGGUGGGACUUCCUUCCUUGUAUUAACAGAUAUGGAAAGAGGGUCUCCAAAGCUGACUUUCUUCAGAUGGAGUUGUCUUACCACCAGUGAGAAAAUUCAGAUCUCUAGGAUCCUCCCAGCAUUUUGCAUCCCAUAGAUUAUAUUCCCCAAAUCCUAGGAUACUUGUACUACUCACAAUCCUCUUAGUAAGUUGCAUUACUCCGGAUGAGUUAAGUACAAAACUGUAGAUUUCUUCCAGACUGUGGUUAGCAUGCCUUCUAGUUAUGACUAGAGACUCCAAAAUAUGUCUGAAGUAAAGGAACUUAUAUUUUUCAAGCAAAAAAAAAAAUCACUGAUUGCCUUGUUUAUCAAUACCUCCUACAGUCUAGCAUCAGAGAGAAGGAGUGUGAAGCCCUCCAGGGUCCACACUAAUUAGAGUACAGUUCAGAGAACUGAUUUUAUAAUGGAAAUAUGAACAUGGAAAACAUUGAUGGAAUUCUUGCCUAUCAAGUUGCAUUGAUUUUUGUGGACUUAAAAAAUUGGAGAACUUAUUCCCCAAGCAACCACUGACCCAGAAUUAGGCUCUGUAUAGAAUGAUCUAGAUACUACUCAUGUAUCACUUUUACUCAAGAGAAACUUCAGCUCUCAUAUUGUGAGGGUUGGGUAGUGACGUUGCAAUGUGUCCAGGAGAAUUGGCUAAGGUCAUGACAGUUAGAGAAAGAGUUUGGAGUCACUGUCCUAUCAAACUAACAGGGCAGAAAAACAAACAAACAAAAAUGGCAAGAGAAAAUAAGCAAAAACAAAUGGAUAAUUCAAUCAUGACACAAGUUAGUCUCUACUUUUUAGCAGCAGGUCAGAAUUUAGGGAAGGGGCAAUGAUUUUUUUUUCUCUAAGAUCUCACAUUUUUUUCUCUUUUGUUCUCUAAGAUCUCACAUUUGAGGAGUCCUUGGUUGCCUAGUUGUGGAGACCCAUCUCCCUUGCAGCCACCCACUCAUUUUUCAGCUCUCAGGUGCUCUACACGUUCACCACCUACAGGAGCAAGGUGGUCCAGCACACCAGAGGGAAAGUUCUCCACCUCCACAUCUGAUGUGGUCCCUUGUAGUAUUUACAGUCACAUUCUCUUCCAGAAGUCCUUAUCAAUUAUUUUUCUUGGCAUCCUCACAUGUUUAUUAUCUGCAGGGUUUAAUGCAGAGCUGUGAGAAGUGGGCAGAAAUAUUUUAAAUGUGAUCAUUGUGUUCCUGAGCAAAAUAACUUGACCUCUCCAAAACUCGACUAUGUGAUUAUCAAGUUGGAAUAAUAAUAGUAUGUGUUCUAGUGUGCCAUGUCUCCCUCGAGAUAUUGGGUGCGAUAACUGACUCAUUAAGUUGGCUGGAGCCAACCUUUGGGAGUGUAUCUGGGAAUGGACAACUGCACUUUCUUCCUGUAAGAAAAGUCCUAGAGUUCUGAGAAGAUUUCAGAACAUCAAGAGAUUGAUCAGCCGUCGCUUUCUGCUGAGCUACAAAGCAUCCAGUGGAUCCAUCUGGCUGUCGGAGUUAGGAUGGUGAUGAUGACCCAGGAUCAGGAUCUCCAAAUGGCGUUUGGAACACAAAGCAAGAAGGAGACUGCGGCUGUUUUCUGCCACUAAGAUUUUCUUUUUAAAAAUCACAGACUUGUGCAGCUUAUCUUGUUUGAUACAGAUAAAGACUGCUGGUUAGAAGCUA